UUUCCGUAGGUGAACCUGCGGAAGGAUCAUUAAAAAAUUGGACUCCAUUGGUGAGUUCAUUAAUAAUCCUACCCUUUGUGAAUUUGUUUGUUUGAAUAAUUUUUUUUCCAAAAAAAAUUAUUGAAUGUCUUUCCCUGUUUUGGUGGAGCUUGUAAAGUGAAACCAGGCAGGGGAAUGGCAAACAAUAAUUAUUUUUGAAAAAGACCUUUUUUAAAAUUAAACUUUUUGUAUUCAUUUGUCUAAAAUUAUUUUUAUAAUAUAAAAACAACUUUUGACAAUGGAUCUCUUGGUUCUCGCAACGAUGAAGAACGCAGCAAAAUGCGAUAAGUAGUGUGAAUUGCAGAAUACGUGAAUCAUCGAAUCUUCGAACGCAUAUUGCACUUUUUUAGUUUACUAAAAAAGUAUGUCUGUUUGAGUAUCAGUAAAAUAUUCUCAUAAAAAAUUAUUUUUUAUGGUUAUGAGUGUUUUACAACGAUAACAAGUUGUUUCACUUUAAAUUCUUUGUUAUCAAAAAAAUCAUUAAAAGCUAAUUUUAAAGAUUUUUUAAAAUUGGAUAAAAUUUUCCCGUAAAAAGGAAUAACCUAAACAAUUUUAAAAAAUUAAAAUUGGUUUGAUUUUUCUUGAUUUAAAAAGGAAAAAAAAGUAAAAAUUAACUUGAUCUCAAAUCAGAUAAGAGUACCCGCUGAACUUAAGCAUAUCAAUAAGCGGAGGAAAAGAAACUAACUAGGAUUCCCUCAGUAACGGCGAGUGAAGCGGGAAGAGCUCAAAUUUGAAAUCUUCAAGGUUUUACCUUGACGAAUUGUAGUUUAAAGAAGUGUUUUCUGUUGGAGUUUUGGUAAAAGUUCUUUGGAAAAGGACAUCAUAGAGGGUGAGAAUCCCGUAUUUGACCAUUAUCUCCAGCUUUGUGAUACACUUUCAAAGAGUCGGAUUGUUUGGGAAUGCAGUCCAAAAUGGGUGGUAAAUUUCAUCUAAAGCUAAAUACUGGCGAGUGACCGAUAGCGAACAAGUACCGUGAGGGAAAGAUGAAAAGAACUUUGAAAAGAGAGUUAAACAGUACGUGAAAUUGUCAAAAGGGAAGCGUUUGACACCAGUGUUGUUUUCUCGAAAAUCAAUUAAAAAAGGCCGGAUUUUGUGUUGUAUUGACUUUAUCAGCUUUCUGCACUUUUUUCUUGUCUUUUUUAAUGCACUUUUCGUUUAACGAGUCAACAUCAAUUUCUUUUGUUGUAAAAGGGUCAUUGGAAGGUGGCUUUCUUUUCGGAGAAAGUGUUUAUAGCCUUUGGCCUCUGCAAUCGGAGAGAUUGAGGUCUGCAGCGUAGAUCCUUCGGGGUUAGAUACAUUUGUGCUAAGCUACAGCUUUUCAUAGACAACUUGUUGACUAUGUUUAGUCUUGUAACUUACCCGCUUAUGCUAUUUUACCUACGCUUAGGAUGUUG
rnacentral:misc_RNA from 1 species